AACAAACGCUGGCGGCGUGCCUAAUACAUGCUAGUCGAACGGGGAAAGCUUUCGGGUGAGUACUAGUGGCGCACGGGUGAGGAACGCGUGGAUAAUCUGCCUUAGAGUGGGGGAUAACUAGUCGAAAGAUUAGCUAAUACCGCAUAAGACCACAGGAGCUGCGGCUCAAGGGGUCAAAGGUUUUUCGCUCUAAGAUGAGUCCGCGUAAGAUUAGCUAGUUGGUGAGGUAACGGCUCACCAAGGCGACGAUCUUUAACUGGUCUGAGAGGAUGAUCAGUCACACUGGAACUGAGACACGGUCCAGACUCCUACGGGAGGCAGCAGUAGGGAAUAUUGCACAAUGGAGGAAACUCUGAUGCAGCGACGCCGCGUGAGUGAUGAAGGCCUUCGGGUCGUAAAGCUCUGUCGCAGGGGAAUAACACAAUGAAUGUACCCUGUAAGAAAGGAUCGGCUAACUUCGUGCCAGCAGCCGCCGUAAUAC
rnacentral:rRNA from 1 species